rnacentral:rRNA from 1 species
GACGAACGCUGGCGGCGUGCUUAACACAUGCAAGUCGAACGGUGACGCGACCAGCUUGCUGGUUCUGGGUGAGUGGCGAACGGGUGAGUAACACGUGCAUAACCUGCCCCCUUCUUCUGGAUAACCGCAUGAAAGUGUGGCUAAUACGGGAUAUUCUGGGUCUGUCGCAUGGCCGGCCCGGGAAAGAUUUUGCUUCGGUGGGGGAUGGGCUCGCGGCCUAUCGGCUUGUUGGUGGGGGAAUGGCCUACCAAGGCGGUGACGGGGAGCCGGCCGGAGGGGGUGGACGGUCAGAAUGGGACUGAGACACGGACGAGAAUGGUACGGGAGGGAGGAGUGGGGAAGAUUGCAGAAGGGGGGCAAGCCCGAUGAAGCGACGCCGGGUGAGGGAGGGAGGCGGUCGGGGUGUAAACCUGUUUGGCAAGAAAAGCAGGCGGGUAAGAUGUGGGUGGGUUGACGGUAGCUGGAGAAGAAGCGCCGGCUAACUACGUG